GGUAACUUUUCACUGAAAGAUAUUUUUGGUAUUUAUAUUAAAAUUUUAUAUAUUUUAGAUAGACAGGAUACGUUGCUAGACGUCAAUCUUAUUUUAUAAAUUUAAUCGAAUUAAAGAGUUUAAUUUGAUCAUCAAUUAGAAAGAGUUCUAAUUACUAAAAUCAGAUUAGCUCGAUUGGAUCUAGAUCAGUUAGAUUAAAUUCAAAUCAAAGC
rnacentral:lncRNA from 1 species